CAUUUAGUUGGGUCGACUCUAAGCAGACUGCCGUGGAUAACACGGAGGAAGGUGGGACGACGUCAAAUCAUCAUGCCCCUUAUGACCUGGGCUACACACGUGCUACAAUGGUCUGAACAGAGGGCUGCGAAACCGCGAGGUGAAGCUAAUCCCUUAAAACAGAUCUCAGUUCGGAUUGCAGGCUGCAACUCGCCUGCAUGAAGUUGGAGUUGCUAGUAAUCGCAGAUCAGAAUGCUGCGGUGAAUGCGUUCCCGGGUCUU
rnacentral:rRNA from 1 species